rnacentral:rRNA from 1 species
GACGUAGGGGGCGAGCGUUGUCCGGAUUCAUUGGGCGUAAAGAGCGCGUAGGCGGCCCGGACAGUGGGGUGUGAAAACCCGAGGCUCAACCUCGGGCGUGCACUCCAAACUCCCGGGCUCGAGGCAGGUAGGGGAGAUCGGAAUUCCUGGUGUAGCGGUGAAAUGCGCAGAUAUCAGGAGGAACACCAGUGGCGAAAGCGGCCACCUGGACUGUACCUGACGCUCAAACGCGAAAGCUAGGGGAGCGAACGGG